rnacentral:rRNA from 1 species
UACGUAGGGGCCGAGCGUUGUCCGGAUUCAUUGGGCGUAAAGAGCGUGUAGGCGGCCGCUUAAGUCCUGCGUGAAAUCUCGGAGCUCAACUCCGAGCGGGUCGUGGGAAACUGGGCGGCUAGAGUGCGGGAGAGGAGAGUGGAAUUCCUGGUGUAGCGGUGGAAUGCGCAGAUAUCAGGAAGAACCACCCGUGGCGAAGGCGGCUCUCUGGAACGCAACUGACGCUGAGACGCGAAAGCGUGGGGAGCAAACAGG